GGACACUACUGUACAUGGCUUAACUCAUGUUAAUAACUACCUUUUGAGAUAGGUACAAUUAUUAUUCUGCCCAUUAGUGUUCUUGCUUUGCCAGCUGGGGAGACUCAUCAUCUCGUUUAUUCCAUACAUUGUUAUUGAGCCCUUAAUGUGCAGUUAGGGAGCAUGUAAAUCAGACAAAUGGGGUCUCUACUUUCAUGAAGCUUACAAUUCUAGGGUAGUUUCAGUCAGCCCUCUUCCCCAAGCCUAGCCCCAUCAUUCAAGCUCACUUGUGUCUGCUCCAAUAGACACAAUUAACCCUGCUGUUUGGGAUCCUCAUUGCCUUCCUGCCCCAACCUUGGAUAAAUUAUUUUCUAUGCCCAUUUUGAUUUAGAGAUGUGUUCUUACAUACCCUCACAGGAGAGAGGCACAUAUGCUGAGCCCAGAAGGUUUUGCCUCCAAUUCCCCCUUUAGCCCUUCUUGUCUUACUCUUUUCUCAUGACCAGGAAUUCCCAGCAUGCCCUAGGGUUGGACUCUUGUGGAAAUGGCAGAAGCACAGAUCACUUUUACUGUACCUCCUUCAAGAGCAGUGUUCCUGGGUGAGACAUUCUGGUAAUUGGCCACUUUGAACCUGUGUAGUAGAAGCUUCCCCCACUUCAGGUCAACCCUCACUAGCCAUAUGAAUGGAAGCAAAAUACAUUUUGUCCCCCAAACCCACAGCAGAAGAAGUCAAGAACCACAAAAAUGGAAUUUGGAAUGUAAGAAGUAUG
rnacentral:lncRNA from 1 species